rnacentral:sRNA from 17 species
GAAGGCGGCGACGCCCCCCGACUUGAGACUGGCGAAAGCCAGUCCGCCGCCUUCGCACCCCUUUGUUGAUGCGAACUCAGGCGGACCGGGUGACCGGACCGCCU